GACGAACGCUGGCGGCGUGCUUAACACAUGCAAGUCGAACGGAAAGGCCUGCUUUCCCUUGUGGAUUGCGGGUACUCGAGUGGCGAACGGGUGAGUAACACGUGAGUGAUCUGCCCCCAACUUGGGUAUAAGCCUGGGAAACUGGGUCUAAUUCCCGAUAGGACUGCAGGGUGGUGCCUGUGGUGGAAAACGAUUUUCUAGUGGUUGGGGAUGAGCUCGCGGCCUAUCAGCUUGUUGGUGGGGUAAUGGCCUACCAAGGCGGCGACGGGUAGCCGGCCUGAGAGGGUGGACGGCGACAUUGGGACUGAGAUACGGCCCAGACUCCGACGGGAGGCAGCAGUGGGGAAUAAUGCACAAUGGGCGGAAGCCUGAUGCAGCGACGCCGCGUGGGGGAUGACGGCCUUCGGGUGGUAAACUCCUUUCGACCGCGAGGAAGCCACCUGGUUGGAAGGGUGGUGACGGUAGUGGUAGAAGAAGCACCGGCUAACUACGUG
rnacentral:rRNA from 1 species